rnacentral:lncRNA from 1 species
CAUGGGAAGGGAAGAACAAGUUGGCGCUAGUGAAUGAACUGAAGUGGUGUUAUCCUUCUGCCCUGGCUCUGAACUCUGUGUCAGGAGCCAAGAGACCAAUAGUGGACCUGCCUGAAGGGGUUUAGCGCCUUCCAUGAUGACAAGCUCUUUGGCGGCAUCUACACAGCAUAAGCGUGGAGACCUGGUGUGCAGCCGCCGGACCCGAAGGCAGGCUCCUUCCUGGAUGAGCAGGCGAGGAUGGCAGCGUUGUCUCUGGAUCCAGAAGGCCAGUGGUGGAAGCCGAAGGCCAGGCCAGGCUCCAUGGGGCUGAGACCCCUCCUCUGGCGGUGGUGGCAGGAGAGAUCCCAAGGAGUGGAGCCAUUCCCUGGGGAAGCCCCUGAAAGUGCAACAGUGGGUGUGACAGAGGAGCAGCAAUGGGCUGGAGACCUUCAGGGGCCAGGGACCUCCGUCGUCAAUGUUUGGGUCCCGGCCGGGAUGGACUUGGGUGAUGGAGAAGCCUGGUCCAGUGACUCUUCAGUGGGAAGACCGGGGCGCAGGGAAGAAGGUGUCACGAGACCGGCCUGGUGGAUGCAGGUUAUCUGAUGGAUGGCUCAAGGGGGCCCGGACUCUGUCCUGGCAGGGAUCUGUGUCCUUGUGAAGAAACGGUGGUCCCGUUUAGGGGACUGAGUGCAGCCCAGCCCCAGCCUGACCUUCAACCCCCAAGCCCUGAGGUUCUGCCUCCUUGGGCUCGUAGCAGAAUCACCUGGACCCCGGGGAAGGAGCAGAACCGGCUGACGCUUGAGUCUGCUGAGUGCAGAAAGGGCGAGUCAGUGGCGGUCCUCCUCGCUUUCCCUGUCUCUCUGUCACUGUCCCUGACUCUCUGUCUCGGUGGCUCUGCCUCGGUCUGUCCCUCUUGUCUCUCGCCUGGCUCUCUCUGUCGCCGUACGGGUCUCUUUCCUUUCUGGCAGCUUCGCGUCUGUGUGGUGGGGUGCACACCAGACCCCGGCGAGCCGAUUGGGCCCGUUUCCCUGGUGAGACCCCUAGACGAUUCCUUCAGUGGGGGAGAUGGCCAAGGAAGCAGUGUGGGGUGGAAGCCGAAGGCCGGGCCAGGCUGCGUGGGGCCGAGACCCCUCCUCUGGCGGUGGUGGCAGGAGAGAUCCCAAGUGUGUACCCCUCAGAGCAAUUGCACUGGAGAUGCUUUAGCAUCUUCCGUACGGACCCGAGCUCUGGGAUUGCCUCUGAACAUACGUGUUAGGACAUGGGAGAGUCACAGGACAUGCUCCCGCUCUUUCGGCUUCUGCUGAGCUCAAGAUUGUCAGGCCGCCUCCGCGCCAGCAAAGAAGCGAAGGAGGGUGCACCGGAGCUGAAUGCAGCUUUCUUCCUUGAUGAGCAGGACAGGAGCUCAAAGGGAUGUUGGCCUCCGCUGGGAUGAAGGCUCUCCUCUUGGAGUUGUUCUAGGAGAGACCAAGGGCCACACCCGCGGCAUUUGGAAGUUUCUAGGCUAGGGGUCGAAUCGGAGCCAUAGCCGCCGGCCUACACCACAGCCACAGCAACACAGGAUCCAAGCCACAUCUGCAGCCUACGCCACAGCUCAAGCAACGCUGGAUCCCUAACCCAUGGAGCAGGGCCAGGAAUUGAGCUCCCUUCUUCGUGGAUACCAGUCGGGUUUGUUACCGCUGAGCCACAAUGGGAACUCCCCAGCAUAACUGUUUUAAAAAGAUAUAUUACUGUGAGAAUAAACUUACCUAAUAAG